UCGAGUUGUAAUUUGCAGAGGAUGCUUCGGGCGUGGCCGCGGUCUAAGUCCCCUGGAACGGGGCGUCGCAGAGGGUGAGAAUCCCGUCUUCGGCCGGCCGGCUUCGCCCGUGUGAAGCUCCUUCGACGAGUCGAGUUGUUUGGGAAUGCAGCUCUAAAUGGGUGGUAAAUUUCAUCUAAAGCUAAAUAUUGGUCGGAGACCGAUAGCGCACAAGUAGAGUGAUCGAAAGAUGAAAAGCACUUUGAAAAGAGAGUUAAACAGCAUGUGAAAUUGUUGAAAGGGAAGCGCUUGCGACCAGAGUCGGCCGCGGGGGUUCAGCGGGCAUUCGUUGCCCGUGCACUCCCCCGCGGGCGGGCCAGCGUCGGUUUUGACGGCCGGUCAAAGGCCCCCGGAAUGUGUCGCCUCUCGGGGCGUCUUAUAGCCGGGGGUGCAAUGCGGCCAGUCGGGACCGAGGAACGCGCUUCGGCACGGACGCUGGCUUAAUGGUCGUAAGCGACCCGUCUUGAAACACGGACCAAGGAGUCUAACAUCCACGCGAGUGUUCGGGUGUCAAACCCGUCCGCGCAGUGAAAGCGAACGGAGGUGGGAACCCUUAAGGGUGCACCAUCGACCGAUCCUGAAGUCUUCGGAUGGAUUUGAGUAAGA
rnacentral:rRNA from 1 species